rnacentral:rRNA from 1 species
ACGGGAGGCAGCAGUGGGGAAUAUUGCACAAUGGGCGCAAGCCUGAUGCAGCAACGCCGCGUGAGGGAAGACGGUUUUCGGAUUGUAAACCUCUGUCUUUGGUGACGAAGAAGUGACGGUAGCCAAGGAGGAAGCCACGGCUAACUACGUGCCAGCAGCCGCGGUAAUACGUAGGUGGCAAGCGUUAUCCGGAUUUACUGGGUGUAAAGGGCGUGUAGGCGGGACAUCAAGUCAGAUGUGAAAGCACGAGGCUCAACUUCGUGUCUGCAUUUGAAACUGACGUUCUUGAGUGUUGGAGAGGCUAACGGAACUCCUAGUGUAGCGGUGAAAUGCGUAGAUAUUAGGAAGAACACCAGUGGCGAAGGCGGUUAGCUGGACAAUAACUGACGCUGAGGCGCGAAAGCGUGGGUAGCAAACAGGAUUAGAUACCCUGGUA